CUGCAUCUGUUAAUCGUAAUCAAAGCAAAUAAAUUAAUUUUAAUUAACUAAAUCAACAACACUAAUCAAGACCAGAACAAGGAUAAUGAUUAAGAAUGUAGUUACUAAUUACUUACGUUGGAAGGCUGAGAUUGGGAGCCUUGGUAUCUAAACUAAGUAUGUUUUUUGUUUCUUUUUCUUUUUUUUUUUAUUGGUUUAAUAUAAUCAGGGAACGAGCACGGAAGAGUGACGCCCGGGGGCCGGUUUAUAUAGAGAUGUUUGCCGACUUGACGAGGAAAUAUCGCGAGCUAAUUCCAAGAAGGUAACGCUUCCACGCACUUAAUGCAAACACGCUAACGAAGGAUCACCGUUCAUUUAGCUGACGCUAAAAGUUGGUACUAAACGGCGACAGAUCCACGGGUCCCACGACGCGCUGCUCCGCUCCACUACCGUCUCAUGGUAGCCCACCAACCAUUUCGGUCGUUAAGAAAAUUAAUUAUAUCCGAAGAAGAAAGAAAACGGCUAGUUAUAAUAUUAAAUUAAAUUUAAAAAAUAUAUAAUUUAAAUUCAUUUUGGUAAAGAGUAUUGUUGUUUUUUUUAUAUUUUAGUUUGUGUAUAUAUAAAAAUAUUCAAUGGAAGGUGGUAGCUGUCAGCAUAUGAAAUUGAUUGGUUUUAAUUUAUUUA
rnacentral:lncRNA from 1 species